AAACUUUCAACAACGGAUCUCUUGGUUCCCACAUCGAUGAAGGACGCAGCGAAAUGCGAUAAGUAAUGUGAAUUGCAGAAUUCAGUGAAUCAUCGAAUCUUUGAACGCACAUUGCGCCCCCUGGUAUUCCGGGGGGCAUGCCUGUUCGAGCGUCAU
rnacentral:rRNA from 1 species